GGGAUUCACAAUCCCAAUAAUCCCAUUCACCAAUUUACCUAUGUUUGGAUUUCACAAUUUUGUGGAAUCCAUAGUAAUUUUGAUUUACCCGGGUAUCACUUCCCUGGUAAAUGAUACCCUUCAGAGACUCGGGUAAGUUGAUUUCCCGAGUGGAGGGUAAGCACAUAAAAAUAGGAAAUCUCAAUCCCCACAAGAUAUAAAAGUUCGAGACUCUGCUUCUCUGAAAAAUCAUGUCUGUGUUUCCCUCCUUCACUUCGUUCUACUUCUCCGAAAAUCAGCUCUGCAUUUCUCCUCCACUCCUUUCUUCUUCUCUGCCAUUGAUUCUUUCAGGUAGAGAAUGCGGAGUUCUGCUUUUCUGCCAUCGCUGCUCCGUAUCUCUGGUAUCUCUGAGUUCUGCCCAUCGUUGCUACUGCUGCAUCAAGUCAUCGCAAAUGCUGAAGAGUUGUCGUCGCCGUCCUCCCUCUGUUGCCGGCACCAAUGAUCAUCCCAUUUUCUGUUGUCGCUCCGCCUGGUUGCCAUCGCUGGUCAUUCUUUCCUCCAUUUAAACAGUCAACUGUGAUACCUAGAGUUUUCAAAAUCAGAACAAAGAAACAAUUCUUGUUGUAUAAGAUCUACUCGAUGAAUCACUCUUAUUUUGUUUGAUUGCAGUACAAAUGAAGUAAAUUCGUUUCCACAAGUAAAGAAUAAUCUUGCAGCUUUGCUGGCUUUAUGUUGGUAUUGGGCUUCUGAUGGAGUGGGAUCAAAGUUUUUGGUUCUUCUGGAAAUGGGAGCUACCCUCUUCGUGGACAUUAUCAUAUGUGGAAUUGCUCCAACUCAUAUCAGCCUCAUCUUCCAAUAAAUAUGAUGUGGCCAAACUCCCCAUCAUUUGUCAAUGACAUGCAUAAUAAUCCCCUAUGCAACUGCAUGGACUUUCUAGAGCACCAUCUCAUAUGCUGAACAUAGUUCUACCAAUACAUCACCAUGUUGGAUCAGCACCAGCUGUAGAAGCUUGACGAAGAACGUGGCUAUAGUCUUCAAUUGCCUUCAUUUUGAAAAUCUAAACAAUAAACUAAAAUUGGAUCAGCACCAUGCAUAAUAAUCACCAAUGUAGAAGCUUGAUGAAGAACGUGGCUAUAGUCUUCAAUUGCAGUAAGGAUCCAACAACUAGUUAAUGCAAUAGACAAACUAGUGAACUUGGCAGGUUUCAAGCUAGCAGAAAGUGAGAAUUCCAMUCAGAGCCAACCCACCAAGGAACCUACUUCAGAAUUCCAAAAUCAUGAAGCCCUAAAGGUUCUUCAACAGGUCUAGGUUCUAAAUGGUUAACUUGGCAGGGGUCUACCAUGGGUACCAACGCAAGAGGAGAUUGUAUCUUCUGAGAGAAGAAGAAGAAAGAAGAAACAGAGAAAAAAAAUAAACCCUGAAAUCUAAGUAUUGACAAGUAWUUUAUAUGAGACCAUAAACAAAAAAAGAAUGUAUACGAAUUAUUUCUCAAUUGAUUGAUUCAGUAUAACAAAGAAAAACUUUCUUCAGUUUAUUGAUAUUU